rnacentral:rRNA from 1 species
AUUGAACGCUGGCGGCAUGCCUUACACAUGCAAGUCGAACGGUAACAGGUCUUCGGACGCUGACGAGUGGCGAACGGGUGAGUAAUACAUCGGAACGUGCCCAGUCGUGGGGGAUAACUACUCGAAAGAGUAGCUAAUACCGCAUACGAUCUGAGGAUGAAAGCGGGGGACCUUCGGGCCUCGCGCGCUGGGAGCGGCCGAUGGCAGAUUAGGUAGUUGGUGGGAUAAAAGCUUACCAAGCCGACGAUCUGUAGCUGGUCUGAGAGGACGACCAGCCACACUGGGGCUGAGACACGGCCCAGACUCCUACGGGAGGCAGCAGUGGGGAAUUUUGGACAAUGGGCGAAAGCCUGAUCCAGCAAUGCCGCGUGCAGGGUGAAGGCCUUCGGGUUGUAAACUGCUUUUGUACGGAACGAAAAAGCUCCUUCUAAUACAGGGGGCCCAUGACGGUACCGUAAGAAUAAGCACCGGCUAACUACGUGCCAGCAGCCGCAGUAA